ACGCUGGGCCUGGUGUGACGGUAAGACGUGAAAUCAUGGGGAGCGGCCUUGGAUUAGAAACCCCGGUAGUCACAUGCUAGUAAAUGAUGCUAACUAGGUGUUGCGGGUAAAAGACCGGCAGUGCCGGAGUUAACGCUGAUAAGUUAGCCACUUGGGGACUACGGUCGCAGAGGUUCAUACUCAAAGGAAUUGACGGGGGCCCGCACAAGCAGAGGAGCUGGUUGUGUAAUUCGAGGGUACACGAAGAACCUUACCUGGGCUUGACAUGACGGUGGUAGGGAACCGAAAGGGGACCGACCUUCGGGAGCCGUCACAGGUGCUGCAUGGCUGUCGUCAGCUCGUGUUUUGAGAUGUUAGGUUAAUUCUGGUACCGAGCGCAACCCUCAUCGCUAGUUACAAGCGUUUAGCGAGAUUCCCCGUUCAACGCGGGAGGAAGGCGGGGAUGAGGUCAAGUCAGCAUGUCCUUUAUGUCCAGGGCUCCACACACGUUCCAAUGGCCGCUACAAUGGGUCGUCAACCCGCGAGGGGGAGCCAAUCCACCAAAUCCGGUCACAGUUGGAAUUGCAGGAUGCAACCCGCCUGCAUGAAGUCGGAGUUCAUAGUACCCGCAGGUCAGCUAUACUGCGGUGAAUACCUUCCCGGGCCUGGUACACACCGCCCGUCACGUCAUGGGAGCUGGUCAUACCCGAAGUCGGUGAGCCAACCGCAAGGAGGCAGCCGCCUAAGGCAGGGC
rnacentral:rRNA from 1 species